UUUGGGGGUGUGUGUGUGCGCGUGUGUAUGUGUGUGUGCCCCUUCGCACCUAUAAACGUGAUGGGAACUGAGACUGGGCUCGAUCCUGGGCACGGGCGGCGGACCCUCAGCUCCCACCAUUGCCAUCAAUGGGCGCUGAGGCCGCAGGAUCGGGCCCAGUAAAUCCAAAGUAAUUCAGCACGAUUGUAAGAUCACGGGAUAUAUUUAAAAAAACAAAACAAUCACUGGGGUCUGUCUCAUGUUUUGAUUCCCAAGGGGACAGUUUACGGCUCCCAACUGAAGCUCAAGACUGAGUUUAAUACUACUAAUAAAAUUAGCAUGACCUUGAUUACACCCUGUAUGAAUAUCUCAUUUACCUAACGACUUUAUGUCACGUACGCAGAAGGUCAACUUCCUUUUAACCUUUCCCAUUGCUGCAGUAAGCAUUCUCUUAUAAUCAAUGGCUGUUUGAAUAAUCAAUUCACAUUUUAUGAUCCCUGACAAACUCAAUAUAUGUGCGCCUCG